UGUUCUUGGAAGCUAAGGGAAAUGAGGGAUUUGCUUGAUGCUAAGCACAUAUUGCUUGAGUGGAGGUUACCCAGGCAUGGUUACUAUGUCUUCAAUGUUUCCAUUAAAACCUUGUUCUUCUCUGUUUAUCUUCUCUUCACUGCCCUUUGUUGCGCAUGCAUUCAUUUUUUGUGGGGAUCUCCUAUUAGAGGAGGGAGAAGGGAGGGGAAGAAAAAGAAAAGAAUCGGAGAAGAGAGGUUGUUGAUCUUGGAAGCUAAGGGAAAUGAGGGAUUUGCUUGAUGCUAAGCACAUAUUGCUUGAGUGGAGAUUACCCAGGUAUGGUUACUAUGUCUUCAAUGUUUCCAUUAAAACCUUGUUCUUCUCUGUUUAUCUUCUCUUCACUGCCCUUUGUUGCGCAUGCGUUCAUUUUUUGUGGGGAUCUCCUAUUAGAGGAGGGAGAAGGGAGGGGAAGAAAAAGAAAAGAAUCGGAGAAGAGAGGUUGUUGAUCUUGGAAGCUAAGGGAAAUGAGGGAUUUGCUUGAUGCUAAGCACAUAUUGCUUGAGUGGAGAUUACCCAGAGGAGGGAGAAGGGAGGGGAAGAAAAAGAAAAGAAUUGGAGAAGGGAGGUUGUUGAUCUUGGAAGCUAAGGGAAAUGAGGGAUUUGCUUGAUGCUAAACACAUAUUGCUUGAGUGCAGAUUACCCAGGUAUGGUUACUAUGUCUUCAAUGUUUCCAUUAAAACCUUGUUCUUCUCUGUUUAUCUUCUCUUCACUGUGCCCUUUGUUGCGCAUGCCUUCAUUUUUUGUGGGGAUCUCCUAUUAGAGGAGGGAGAAGGGAGGGGAAGAAAAAGAAAAGAAUCGGAGAAGGGAGGUUGUUGAUCUUGGAAGCUAAGGGAAAUGAGGGAUUUGCUUGAUGCUAAGCACAUAUUGCUUGAGUGGAGAUUACCCAGCUCUGCAACUUAUUGCUCCUAUUCUUCUUCACUAGUGUCUCUCUUGUUGAGCCUCGGACUUUGCAGUUUUGUUUGGAGUCCUACUGGUGUUUAGUCGUUUUUGUUCAUUAUUUAGCAUUCAGCUCUUGCUCGUGUAUUUGAGCAUAAGAAUGUCUGUUUCUUGGGUAUGUUGUAAACAGUGUUUGAAAUAUAUUUUUCUCUGAAAUUUCGGUUAUCGGCAGGCUCCCGUCCACGGAAAUUUUUGGUAAUUUUUCGGAAAUAUCACCGAUAUUUUGGUA